GUAACACGUGGCUAACCUGCCUUGGACGGGAUCACCCCCGGUAAACUGGGGCUACUCCCCGAUAGGUGAAGAACACUGGAAUGUGUCUUCGCCCAAAAGCCGUCGGAGCAUCUUUUCGGCGGUGCCUAAGGAUGGGGCCGCGACCGAUCAGGUUGUUGGUGAGGUAAUGGCCCACCAAGCCUUUUACCGGUGCGGGCCGUGAGAGCGGGAGCCCGUAUAUGGGCACUGAGACAAGGGCCCAGGUCCUACGGGGCGCAGCAGUCGCGAAAACUUUGCAAUACACGAAAGUGUGACCGGGUCAUCCCGAGUGCCGACCGCUGAGGUUGGCUUUUACCCAGUCUAAAAAGCUGGGGGAAUAAGGAGAGGGCAAGUCUGGUGUCAGCCGCCGCGGUAAUACCAGUUCUCCGAGUGGUUUGGACGUUUAUUGGGCCUAAAGCAUCCGUAGCUGGCUUGAACAAGUCCCCUGUUAAACCCACCGAUUUAAUCGUUGGUUGCGGGGGA
rnacentral:rRNA from 1 species